UGCAGUCGACGCUUUGUGGUUCAACUGAUUUGAAGAGCUUGCUCAGAUAUGACGAUGGACAUUGCAAAGAGUGGCGAACGGGUGAGUAACACGUGGGAAACCUACCUCUUAGCAGGGGAUAACAUUUGGAAACAGAUGCUAAUACCGUAUAACAAUAGCAACCGCAUGGUUGCUACUUAAAAGAUGGUUCUGCUAUCACUAAGAGAUGGUCCCGCGGUGCAUUAGUUAGUUGGUGAGGUAAUGGCUCACCAAGACGAUGAUGCAUAGCCGAGUUGAGAGACUGAUCGGCCACAAUGGGACUGAGACACGGCCCAUACUCCUACGGGAGGCAGCAGUAGGGAAUCUUCCACAAUGGGCGAAAGCCUGAUGGAGCAACGCCGCGUGUGUGAUGAAGGGUUUCGGCUCGUAAAACACUGUUGUAAGAGAAGAAUGACAUUGAGAGUAACUGUUCAAUGUGUGACGGUAUCUUACCAGAAAGGAACGGCUAAAUACGUGCCAGCAGCCGCGGUAAUACGUAUGUUCCAAGCGUUAUCCGGAUUUAUUGGGCGUAAAGCGAGCGCAGACGGUUAUUUAAGUCUGAAGUGAAAGCCCUCAGCUCAACUGAGGAAUUGCUUUGGAAACUGGAUGACUUGAGUGCAGUAGAGGAAAGUGGAACUCCAUGUGUAGCGGUGAAAUGCGUAGAUAUAUGGAAGAACACCAGUGGCGAAGGCGGCUUUCUGGACUGUAACUGACGUUGAGGCUCGAAAGUGUGGGUAGCAACAGGAUUAGAUACCCUGGUAGUCCACACCGUAACGAUGAGUG
rnacentral:rRNA from 1 species